rnacentral:rRNA from 1 species
UACGUAGGCAGCGAGCGUUGUUCGGAGUUACUGGGCGUAAAGCGUGCGUAGGCGGUGUCUUAAGUUUGUUGUGAAAUCCCCGGGCUUAACCUGGGAAUGGCAUUUGGGACUGCAAGGCUUGAGUGCGGCAGAGGAGACUGGAAUUCCUGGUGUAGCAGUGAAAUGCGUAGAUAUCAGGAGGAACACCGAUGGCGAAGGCAGGUCUCUGGGCUGACACUGACGCUCAUGCACGAAAGCGUGGGGAGCAAACAGG